CAAUGUCAUACUGGAUACGCAAAAGCUGACAGUGUUCCCCUUGAAUAUUGACACAAGACAAGGAUGCCCCUAUCUCACCACUCCUAUUCAACAUAGUAAUGGAAAUUCUGGCCAGGGCAAUGAGGCAAGAGAAAGAAAUACAGGGUAUUCGCAUAGGAAGAGAGGGAGUCAAAUUGUCUUUGUUUGCAGAUGGCAUGAUCCUCUAUCUAGAAAACCCCCUAGUCUCAGCCCAAAAGCUUAAGCUGAUAAGCAACUUCAGCAAAGUUUCAGGAUACAAAAUCAAUGUGCAAAAGUCACAAGCAUUCCUUUACGUCAACAACAGACAAGCAAAGAGCCAAAUCAAGAAUGAACUCCCAUUCACAAUUGCUACAAAGAGAAUAAAAUACCUAGGAACACAGCUAACAAGGGAAGUGAAGGACCUCUUCAAGGAGAACUACAAACCACUGCUCAAGGAAAUCGGAGAGGACACAAACAUGGAAAAACAUUCCAUGCUCAUGGAUAGGAAGAAUCAAUAUUGUGAAAACAGCCACACUGCCCAAAGCAAAUUAUAGAUUCAAUGCUACUCCCAUUAAAAUACUAUUGACAUUCUUCACAGAAUUAGAAAAAACUAUUUUAAAAUUCAUAUGGAACCAAAAGAGAGCCCGUAUAGCUAAAACAAUCUUAAGCAAAAAGAACACAGCUAGAGGCAUCACGUUACCCGACUUCAAACUAUACUACAAGGCUACAGUAACCAAAACAGCAUGGUACUGGUACAAAAACAGACACAAAGACCAAUGAAACAGAACAGAGAACUCAGAAAUAAGACCACACAUGUACAACCAUCUGAUCUUUGACAAACCUGACAAAAACAAGCAAUGGGGAAAGGAUUCUCUAUUUAAUAAGUAGUAUUGGGAGAACUGGCUAGCCAUAUGCAGAAAACUGAAACUGGAUCCCUUCCUUACACCUUAUACAAAAAUUAACUCGAGAUGGAUUAAAGACUUAAAUGUAAAACCCCAAACUAUAAAAACCCUAGAAGAAAACCUAGGCAAUAAAUACCAUUCAGGACAUAGGCAUGGGCAAAGAUUUCUUGAUGAAAAUGGCAAAAGCAAUUGCCAACAAAAGCAAAAACUGACAACUGGGAUCUAAUUAAACUAAAGAGCUUCUGCACAGCAAAAGAAACUAUCAUCACAGUGAACAGGCAGCCUACAGAAUGGGAGAAAACUUUUGCAAUUUAUCCAUCUGACUAAGGUCUAAUAUCCAGAGUCUACAAGAAACUUAAAUAAAUUUACAAAAAAAAAAAAUUAACCACCCCAUUAAAAAGUAGGCAAAGGACAUGAACAGACAUUUCUCAAAAGAAGACAUUUAUGCAGCCCAACAAACAUAAAAAAAGCUCAACAUCACUGAUGAUCAGAGAAAUGCAAAUCAAAACCACAAUGAGAUAUAAUAUCACUCCGGUUAGCAUGGCUAUUUAUCAAAAUGCAAAAAAAGGAAAAUUCUGGCUGGGAUAAGGAGAAAAGGGAACACUGGCACACCGUUAUGGAAAUGUGAGUGAGUAUAGCCAUUACAGAAAACAGUAUGGAGGUUACUCAAAAAAUUAAAAAGAGAACUACCAUAUGAUCCAGCAAUUCCACUACAGUGUAUAUAUCCAAAAGAAAUGAAAUCAGUAGAUUAAAAAGAUAUUUGUGCUCCUAUGUUUCUUUCAGCAUUAUUCAUAACGGCCAAGAUAUGGAACCAAAAUAAGUGUUCAUCAAUGGAUGAAUGGAUUUCUAAAACGUGGUGUAUAUACACAAUUGAAUACUAUCCCACCACAAGAAAAAAGAGAAAUCAGCCAGGCCUGGCAGCUCACACCUAUAAUCCCAGUACUUUGGGAGGCCAAGGCAGGAGGAUCACUUGAAGCCAGGAGUUUUGAGACCAGCCCGGGCAACAAAUCAAGACUGUCUCCACAAAAACAUUAAAAAAUUAGCCAGAUGCAGUGGCAUGCAUCUGCAGUCCCAGCUACUCGGGAGGCUGAGGCAGGAGAAUGCCCUGAUCCUAGGAGUUUGAGGCUGCAGUUAGGUAUGAUCAUGCCACUGAACUCCAGCCUAGGUGACAGAGCAAGAGCCUAUCUCUUUAAAAAAAAAAAAAAAAAAAAAAAGGGCGGGGAGCGGCGGGCAAGGUGGGAGGAUCAUUUGAGGCCAAGGGUUCAACAAUAGCCUGGGCAACAUAACAAGACCUAAGAUAAGCCAACAUUUGAGUAAUAAUUAGAGUCACUUAAGUAACAACAAAAUAUAUGGGAAAGGAAAUAUAUACAUUUUUCUGGCAUGAAGCAAGAAAGAAUCUCAGAUUGAAAGGGAGCAUCAAAAGUACUGGGAAAGACUGAUAAAGAACUAUUAACAUUCAGACAUACUCUGGUUAAGUCAACUGUUUCAAGUAUAAUGAAAUAAUUCUUCAAUCAGUAAGUUAGAAAACAAAAAGUCAUUUACAAGAAGAAAAUAAAAACUGCUGGUACCAGAAGUUGUAGACUCCCCUUAAUGAGAGACUCAGCUGUUUUGUCUUUGUUUUUGAGAAGUGCCUUGCUCUGUCACCCAAUCUGGAGUGCAGUGGUGUGAUCAUAGCUCACUGCAGCCUCAAAUUCCUGGGCUCAAAUGAUCCUUCCACUUCAGCUUCUGAAAGAGCUGGGACUACAGGCGCAUGCUACUUAUUGUACUUGGCUAUUUUUCAAAUUUUUUGUAGAAACUGGGUUGGUCUCUGUUGCCAAGGCUGGAGUGCAGUGGCACAAUCGCAGCUCACAGCAGCCUNNNNNNNNNNUAAAAUCUGAUAUGUGGCAGGCAGCAAAGAGAGGAAGUACACAAGCCAUGCUGUAGCUCUAGUACCUAACUGAAUAGACUUGCCUAAUCAUCACUAGGUGUAUGGUAUCUGCAAAACAAGCCCCAAAAGUCUCAUACCUUCACAACAGGAUGUCCCCCAGUAGAUGCUUUUACUGCCCCUCGGCUACCUUCAGUUUCAUAAUGGGCUCGAUGAUGAGUUUUAGGUUGCACUUCUAUUUUCAGUUCACAUUGUCCAAAAUGAGCUGGUAAAGGCCAGUCUAGUGGAGGUAAUGAAGAUGUGCUACAAACAAAACACACAAAGAUGCAUGUCACCAUGCUAUUAUUGCCAAGGAAUGAUUCAAAUGGCUUCUUUGCCAGCACCAACAUUUCUUCCUUUGAUCUUUGAAACAAUGUAUUACAAAAUAAAACUUCAUUUAGUAAGUUACAAUUCUGGUUAUGGUGAGUGCUUAAUAAAUAAUUAUUUCAUCUUUAGAAUAAAAUCUAUUUUAUUUCCCAAAGGUGGUACAUGCUUAAAGAUAAAUAAAUUUUAGAAAAUAAAAAUAAAGGCCAGGUGCGGUGGCUCAUGCCUGUAAUCCUAGCAUUUUGGGAGGCCGAGGUGGGCAGAUUACCUGAGGUCAGGAGUUCGAGACCAGCCUUGCUAGCAUGGUGAAAC
rnacentral:lncRNA from 1 species